AUGCUCACUGCAGCAGCACAUAUACUAAAAAUUGGGAUGAUACAGAGAUUAGCUAGGCCCUGUGCAAGGAUGACACGCAAAUUCGUGAAGCAUUCCAUAUAUUU
ensembl:snRNA U6 U6 spliceosomal RNA